rnacentral:SRP_RNA from 1 species
GAAGGGUCCCUCUUGAUCGGCUGAUGCCGAACCCCGCCAGGGCCGGAAGGCAGCAACGGCAGGCAUCGGUCCGAUGUGGAGGAUCCUCCUUU